rnacentral:rRNA from 1 species
GACGAACCGUGCGAACGUUGUUCGGAUUCACUGGGCUUAAAGGGCGCGUAGGCGGGUUGUCAAGUCAGGGGUGAAAGCCUCCAGCUCAACUGGAGAAGUGCCUUUGAUACUGAUGAUCUUGAGGGAGGUAGGGGCAUGUGGAACUUCCGGUGGAGCGGUGAAAUGCGUAGAUAUCGGAAAGAACACCAACGGCGAAAGCACUCUGCUGGGCCGACACUGACACUGAGAGACGAAAGCUAGGGGAGCGAAUGGG